rnacentral:tRNA from 1 species
GCCUGGGUGGCUCAGUGGUUGAGCAUCUGCCUUUGGCCCAGGGCAUGACCCUGGAGUCCUGGGAUCGAAUCCCACAUCAGGCU